ACCAUUAUCGUCUAGAGGUUUAGGAUACCAGGUUUUCAAAUAUUCUCAACUUGAAAUCCCUGGGGACCGGGGUUCGAACCCCCGUAAUGGUG